CAGCCGCCACGGUAAUACGAAGGGUGCAAGCGUUAAUCGGAAUUACUGGGCGUAAAGCGUGCGCAGGCGGUUGUGUAAGACAGGUGUGAAAUCCCCGGGCUUAACCUGGGAACUGCGCUUGUGACUGCACAGCUAGAGUAUGGCAGAGGGGGGUGGAAUUCCACGUGUAGCAGUGAAAUGCGUAGAGAUGUGGAGGAACACCGAUGGCGAAGGCAGCCCCCUGGGCCAAUACUGACGCUCAUGCACGAAAGCGUGGGGAGCAAACAGGAUUAGAUACCCCCGUAGUCCCUGUCUCUUAUAC
rnacentral:rRNA from 1 species